AUUGCUGCAUAAAACAGCUAGUUAUCGAUUUUUGAGAGAUAUUUUCUAUUAUAAUUCUUGAGUUUUAACUCGCUUGGCCCAUCACUUUAUAAACUUCCUAUAUUAACUUUCCAAUAAUAAAUAAAUUUGAAACUUUGAUACCUCCAAAUGGCCUAAAAAGUAAAAAAGACCAACAUCACCGAUAAGCUAGACAAUUAAUCGGAUAAUUAUUGUUUAGACAAUUCCAUAACAGUUUUCGUACCCGAUUUUUAGGAUAUCUAACGGCAGACGAGAGAUGGACCUGGCAGAAGAAUUGAGUCAAUGGAAUUCAUCGUAUUACGCGAAUUGGUCUGCAACUCAACUGGUCACUGAUGCACCUGAAGAUGAUGUUCUGCCUCCUUUCAGCUUCUUCAGCUUCUUCUCCUCUGGCUACUUGAAAUUCCAGAGGAUCGAGUGGAAGCUGAGAUUGUCAACUAUGAUCAUAGUGUUUACGAUCGGUAGCGUGUGUUUGAUUCUGAACGGGUACAUUGUGGGGGUGUUCGCACUGCACAAACAGUUCCGCAAACUGGAGUAUUACCCUCUUGCUCUCAACUGUCUAUUCGAUAUCUUCGGACCCGGACUCGCU